GGAGGUUCUUCCCAAUGGAUCCUCUCCCACUUCACCUUUGGUUUCCUCUUCCAUGUCAGAUGGGACUGCUUUUGAAGAUGGAACAUUAAUCCAAUAAUUCUGAUGUACUCAUGAGAGAGGACACUAGGAUGCAAAUGCAUUCUGAUGACAUCGCCUAUGACAUCUUUCAUCUUGAACAAUCCUCCUGCUUCAGCCUCCUGAGAGCCGGCAUUAUAAGCAUGUACCACCAUGCUAGUUUCAUCUAAUUGAUCCACACAUAGACAGCAUCCUGGCUCUCUGUCAUUUAGAGAAUAUUAAAUCACAUUAAAACACCAUAGAGCACUAUACACAUUACACAAGCUAUGUGACAACUGCCAAAGGAGUUAUGUUUC
rnacentral:lncRNA from 1 species